rnacentral:rRNA from 1 species
AGUGAACGCUGGCGGUAGGCCUAACACAUGCAAGUCGAACGGCAGCACAGUAAGAGCUUGCUCUUACGGGUGGCGAGUGGCGGACGGGUGAGGAAUACAUCGGAAUCUACUUUUUCGUGGGGGAUAACGUAGGGAAACUUACGCUAAUACCGCAUACGACCUACGGGUGAAAGCAGGGGAUCUUCGGACCUUGCGCGAUUGAAUGAGUCGAUGUCGGAUUAGCUAGUUGGCGGGGUAAAGGCCCACCAAGGCGACGAUCCGUAGCUGGUCUGAGAGGAUGAUCAGCCACACUGGAACUGAGACACGGUCCAUACUCCUACGGGAGGCAGCAGUAGGGAAUAUUGGACAAUGGGCGCAAGCCUGAUCCAGCCAUACCGCGUGGGUGAAGAAGGCCUUCGGGUUGUAAAACCCUUUUGUUGGGAAAGAAAAGCAGCAGGUUAAUACCCCGCUGUUCUGACGGUACCCAAAGAAUAAGCACCGGCUAACUUCGUG